GCAAAAGUCAUAGGGUCUAUUGGAUUGGCUUGAAACCAAUUUUGGGGGGUUCAAAUCCUUCCUUUUCCA
rnacentral:tRNA from 1 species